rnacentral:rRNA from 1 species
CAGUAGCCGCGGGAAUACGGAGGAUCCAAGCGUUAUCCGGAAUCAUUGGGUUUAAAGGGUCCGUAGGCGGUCUUGUAAGUCAGUGGUGAAAGCCCAUCGCUCAACGGUGGAACGGCCAUUGAUACUGCAGGACUUGAAUUAUUGGGAAGUAACUAGAAUAUGUAGUGUAGCGGUGAAAUGCUUAGAGAUUACAUGGAAUACCAAUUGCGAAGGCAGGUUACUACCAAUUGAUUGACGCUGAUGGACGAAAGCGUGGGUAGCGAACAGGAUUAGAGACCCCAGUAGUCCCUGUCUCUUAUAC